GUUCACUCCUCUUAGAAACAGUCCACUCUACAAAAAGACACGAUUCAAGUCGAAAGAGAGGCGACUCUGAAGGCAAAGGAUCGGAUCCAUCUAUCCUCAAGCUUCUUUGCUCCACUUGCCUAGUGCCAAAAAAAAAAGGAACCGGGAAAAUAAAUUACAAAAUAAUAAAUUAAAUGGGAGGUGAGAGCGACGACUGGGAUGCAAACCACGGGGACACGGUUCAGAGUCAGCCUCGGAAACACGAGGAGGAGGAGGAGGACAAAAGCUCGGGGUGCAAAUGUCCCAAGUGCUGCCUGAAGACACGGGACUGCCUGAUGAGCGCCGAAUGCGGCAGGGCGCUCCAGAUCUCCAGCGUCAUCGCCUUUUGUGGCAUGUGCAUUCGCAUGUUUGUGUAACCUUGGACCUCCGGACCUGUUUUUCCAGGCUGCAUUGCUUCUCAGCGUCCCCCGGCACCCUUUAUGAGAUUCAUGCCUUGUGUUUUUCUUUUCGUCUGAGAUGAAUAUAUUCACUUUUAGUCUGUUUCAUCAGCUAAAACUCUUUAUUUCUCUGUUCACAGGUUAUUUAUUGAACAAACUGUCUGUAUAUAAAAAAAACGAAGGAGACAACCUUAAUGAAUGAAUGAACAAUUGAAUGUGAAUUUGAUCUGCAUGUUUUUUGUGAGAGGUUUAUUCAGACGCCUGUCUGACUGAUCAAUUCGGAUUGAUCAAAAUAUAUUUAUAAUCAUGGUGGAGCAGUUUUCAGUAAUGACAUGAAAAAACUGUAAUAUUAUGAUAGUAAUAACAUGGAUUUACUGCCUCGGGGUUGUAUGCCAAUGCCGCCGUUAGAGCCCGUCCAAAAUGUCAUCAUUUAAUCCCGUUCGACAUUUGUGAGAAAUUGUCACAAUUAGCAUAUGACUUGUUGAAUACGGGUCACGGUGGCAUUUGACCACCCAACCUCCCUCAGUGUGUUGCCCUUCACGAGAAUGGACAAACCCUUAAAAACACAAUGCGUCCGGGCACGGCUCUCACUGACGCGGAGACACAAGACAAAAGGGGGAGACGACAUCUUCUCUUAAAGUAAGAGUAGAAUGAGCAGAUGGAAGAAGCCAAAAACUGUCAAACAUCUGAACUGAUGAAAAACUGUGAAUAAAGCUUGAAAUAACAA